rnacentral:misc_RNA from 1 species
UAUGGGGUGCCAGGUGGGCAAUAUACAGUUCCAUGCUGGUAGUUAGAGAAUACAGAAGCAUAUUUACAUAUUAACAUAUAACCUAGUCAGAAUGCCGAGCUUAUUAGACCGCGAGACCUUCACCCUCCUUAACCUGUCGGACACUGGGAGUGAAUCCGUCCCUGAUCUUGAUCUUGUCCAACCUUCCCGCACACAGAAUAGAAGAAAGGUUAAAUAUAAACGACGGGAGCGUGCCCCUAGAUCCUCCCAACCUGCCCCGCCCCCGUCAGACUGGGACAGCAGCCGCCCUUGUAAAUGUGGUUCUCCGCCUUCUGCCUGCCAGCUGGGCGGAGUAGUGUUUAUGUUGACCUGCCUCGGUUCCCUCCUCUACCUCAACUUCACGUUGACCGAUAAGCUACAAGCGCUGGAGUCAAGGAUAUCUAGUGUUGAUGAAGCUUCAAGAUCAGCCGCCUCUCCUAUUAUUGCAAUUAAAACUUUAUUAGAUGAAUUACAGAAUAAUCAGACUGGAGUAUACAAGCGUCUAUCUGAGCUGGAAACUAGAUUGACCGGACUAGAAACUUCGCUCGUUAAGAUCUCCAGUAAACCUCAGGGCGAGGAUGUUCUUCAGGGCCUGGCUGACCUUGGAGGGAAACUAACAGAGGUACAGCAGACUGUGGAAAAGUUGAAAAAAGAGAAUAUAAAAAAUAGCGCAGAUGUGAUCAAGUUGGAUUCUACAAUAAAUAAUCUUAAGUUGUAUGAUAUAAACAAGGACGGAGAACAGAGUUCGGAGAAAUCAAAACUACCCGACUUGGAGAAAGGUCUGGCAGAGACCAAAAAUCUGGUGAACCUUCUCCAGGAUAGGUUUGAAACUGUAAACACAACCCUCUCCUUGGUUGCUCAGAACUCAACAGCCAGGAUGGAUUGGUUGAGCAAGGAUCUUAGCUCAGUUCAGGUUAAAAUAUCUCAGUUGGAAGACGACAACAGAAACGUAUCCAGCAGAUUACUUAACAUUGACGGAACUAUGGACGCGGCGUUGGUGCAGAUCAAGACCAACCUAACCAGCCUGGCCGGAGUUGUGAACAGCUGGAAGCAUCCUAGCCCGGAGAUUAGUCCAAUCUUAAAGAAUGUUAAACUAGGACCAAGAGACAAGAAAUGAGAAUUAUUUAUCUAGUCUUCCAAUUGCGUUCUUCAAUUUUGUAAUAUCCUACAUACAAAGUCCUAUACAUUUAAAUUGACAAUCAUGUUUUUCUUAAAUAUGAAGUAUGGAGACUUCCUGAACUGUGAGAUAUUAAUUUUUGUUCGACUAAACAAUAUGGUGUAAUUGUAUAAUUGAGCUUUUCACCGUAUUACAGUCGCUAUUCUCUCUGUUAUUGGUGUCAAAUACCAGAAUUUUAAAUCUUUACGCGUAAAAGAACUUCCAUGUAUAAAAGUUCUUGGAGUAUUCUUGUCCAAGAACCUUUUCUGUAUAUCCUUGAGUCUAUUUCAUAAAUAGAGAUAAAUAAGAUCAAGAAACGGUCUGGAAAAGUGACUGUGUAAAUACAGGAAAUUGUAAAAUCUU